GCGUUGUCCGGAAUUAUUGGGCGUAAAGCGCGUGUAGGCGGUUCAAUAAGUCUGCUGUGAAAGCCGAGGGCUCAACCCUCGGAUGCCGGUGGAUACUGUUGGACUAGAGUACGGAAGAGGCGAGUGGAAUUCCUGGUGUAGCGGUGAAAUGCGCAGAUAUCAGGAGGAACACCAAUUGCGAAGGCAGCUCGCUGGGACGAUACUGACGCUGAGACGCGAAAGCGUG
rnacentral:rRNA from 1 species